CAGAAGGAGAGGAGAGGAGAAGGGGAGAGGAGAGGAGGAGAGAGGAGAGGAAGAAGUAGAGGAGAGGAGAAGAGGACAGGGGAGAAAAGAGGUGGGGAUAAAGAAAGAGGAGUAAAGAGGAGAUGUGGGCAGACAGAAGUUGGGGAGGAGGAGAAAGGAGAGGAGCCAUUGGAACGCAGGGGGGAGGAGGAGAAAGGAGAAGUAAGUGGAGCUAGAGGAUAAAUAUUUAAUGUCAUCUGCAGCAGAAACAUCUGACUGGCUCUUUCAACCUGCCACACACACACACACACACACACACACACACACACACACACACACACACACACACACACACACACACACACACACACACACACACACACACACA